rnacentral:rRNA from 1 species
UACGGGAGGCAGCAGUGGGGAAUAUUGCACAAUGGGCGCAAGCCUGAUGCAGCCAUGCCGCGUGUAUGAAGAAGGCCUUCGGGUUGUAAAGUACUUUCAGUCGUGAGGAAGGUGUUAAGGUUAAUAACCUUAGCAAUUGACGUUAGCGACAGAAGAAGCACCGGCUAACUCCGUGCCAGCAGCCGCGGUAAUACGGAGGGUGCGAGCGUUAAUCGGAAUUACUGGGCGUAAAGGGCACGCAGGCGGUUAAUUAAGUUGGAUGUGAAAUCCCCGGGCUUAACCUGGGAAUGGCAUUCAAGACUGGUUAGCUAGAGUCUUGUAGAGGGGGUUAGAAGUUCCAUGUGUAGCGGUGAAAUGCGUAGAGAUGUGGAGGAAUACCGGUGGCGAAGGCGGCCCCUGGGACAAAGACUGACGCUCAUGUGCGAAAGCGUGGGGAGCAAACAGGGAUUAGAUACC